rnacentral:rRNA from 1 species
AUGAGUGAGCUCACAUCUAUGUGUGUUCAAGAAGAAGAGCGGCUUAAGGUUGAAAGGAUAAAUUAUGCUCAUCUUACUUCCAUAAACUUAGGGAAAAGAAAGUCUCGGGGUGAUGGGAAACCUAAGAAGAAGAUGAACAUCUCUAAUAUUGAUGCAAGCAAGCUAGGGACCUCUGGCACCAAGGCCAUCGCUACGGAGCCUAAGGGUCCUAAGUGUCGUUUCUGCAAGGAAGAUGGGCAUGUCAUGAAAGAAUGUGAUGGCUUUAAGGCAUGGUUUGCUAAGAAGGGUAAUGAAACAAUUUCCUAA